rnacentral:pre_miRNA from 9 species
UCUCGAUAGCGUAAAAGUUAACUCAAAUCUGUAUGGAGUUGGAACGUUUGUCUGCGUUUGCCGCUAGGGGCGCUGUCCAACUCCAUACAAAUUUCUAGUUAACUUUAACGCGAUCGA